GACGAACGCUGGCGGCGUGCUUAACACAUGCAAGUCGAACGGAAAGGCCCUGCUUUUGUGGGGUGCUCGAGUGGCGAACGGGUGAGUAACACGUGAGUAACCUGCCCUUGACUUUGGGAUAACUUCAGGAAACUGGGGCUAAUACCGGAUAGGAGCUCCUGCUGCAUGGUGGGGGUUGGAAAGUUUCGGCGGUUGGGGAUGGACUCGCGGCUGAUCAGCUUGUUGGUGGGGUAGUGGCUUACCAAGGCUUUGACGGGUAGCCGGCCUGAGAGGGUGACCGGCCACAUUGGGACUGAGAUACGGCCCAGACUCCUACGGGAGGCAGCAGUGGGGAAUAUUGCACAAUGGGCGGAAGCCUGAUGCAGCAACGCCGCGUGCGGGAUGACGGCCUUCGGGUUGUAAACCGCUUUCGCCUGUGACGAGGCGUGAGUGGCGGUAAUGGGUAAAGAAGCACCGGCUAACUACGUG
rnacentral:rRNA from 1 species